GCCUGGGUAGCAGAAUCCGGUAUAUGCGCCUGUCUCAGAAACAGGAAUUUGAAGGUUCGACUCCUUCCCUGGGCACCA
rnacentral:tRNA from 2 species